rnacentral:lncRNA from 1 species
CAUUGACAGGUAUCUGAUUUAAUGGAAACUAUCAGGCAAGCUAAAAGUUGAGGUAGUUAUCAUCUCUUGUAUAAUAAUCACUGACACCAAGUAUUCUCUUGAAAUCUAUUUGCUUAAGAAUAAUACCCAAGAUUGAAAUGAUGGAUGCAAAAUGAAACUAUUAUAUCCAGAUGACGAGAAAUAAGAGCAUACUAUGUAAAAGGGCUAGGUGAAGCGCCACAAUAAAAAGCUUUAACAAAACAAUAACUUUGGUACUCUGAAGAUCACAAAGAAGUGAAGACAAUUACAAUCUAGAAAUAUGAAGCAACUUUUUAAUGCUUCCUUUUAUGCCAUGAGCUGCAGAAAAGCAAUAGAGCAGCUCCCACAUGAGAUGAAGAUGAAGGAACAGGAAAGAAAAACAAGAAACCAGUGUGGUGUGUUUGUUCAAUCUCCAAUGAAACCAUUCCCAACUAUGGCAUGGGACAAAGGCAAUAGCAAUAACAGCUGAAUUUCUCUGAGAUGUGCUGUUGCAAGUGCUUACGUGGAGGAGGUCUGGGUCCUGCUGUAGAAAUCCCUAGGGAGCAGAAUGACUCUAAUUUUCUGGCUUUCUCAUCUGCCCCCCUACUCACAUAAUUACAACUCAAGCCAUUUUUUGGAAAAAAAGUAGAUGUAUAUCACUGCAGACUUAUGUCUUACAGCAAGAUUUGAAAGCAAAGGGGAAUUUCUACAAGAGAAAUUGUAUCACCUUGGGUAGGAUCAACUCCUUCAUUUGCAGCCAGGUUCAAAAAUCUUUCGUCUAAAGACUGAUUCCUAUUGGCAUCAGAGGAAUUGAAAAUUAAUUAUGUCCACAGUGAGAAACUGUAGAACUAGCGGGAAGAAAACCAGUAAAGUUGUUUUCUGAGCGGCCUUGGGGAAAACAGUGGGAAGUUGCUGGUGAGUGGAGCUUUUCAAGAAUAAAAAGGACACUCAAAAUCCCUAAUUAACUUUA